UACGGAGGGUGCAAGCGUUAUCCGGAUUCACUGGGUUUAAAGGGUGUGUAGGCGGGUAUUUAAGUCCGUGGUGAAAUCUCCAGGCUCAACCUGGAAACUGCCAUUGAUACUAUUUAUCUUGAAUAUCGUUGAGGUUGGCGGAAUAUAUCAUGUAGCGGUGAAAUGCAUAGAUAUGAUAUAGAACACCGAUUGCGAAGGCAGCUAACUAAGCGAUUAUUGACGCUGAGGCACGAAAGCGUGGGGAUCAAACAGG
rnacentral:rRNA from 1 species